AUACGUAGGGUGCAAGCGUUAAUCGGAAUUACUGGGCGUAAAGCGUGCGCAGGCGGUUUUGUAAGACAGUGGUGAAAUCCCCGGGCUCAACCUGGGAACUGCCAUUGGGACUGCAAGGCUGGAGUGCGGCAGAGGGGGAUGGAAUUCCGCGUGUAGCCGUGAAAUGCGUAGAUAUGCGGAGGAACACCGAUGGCGAAGGCAAUCCCCUGGGCCUGCACUGACGCUCAUGCACGAAAGCGUGGGGAGCAAACAGGAUUAGAUACCCUGGUAGUCCACGCCCUAAACGAUGUCAACUGGUUGUUGGGGAUUUACUUUCUCAGUAACGAAGCUAACGCGUGAAGUUGACCGCCUGGGGAGUACGGCCGCAAGGUUAAAACUCAAAUGAAUUGACGGGG
rnacentral:rRNA from 1 species